UACGUAGGGUGCAGGCGUUAAUCGGAAUUACUGGGCGUAAAGCGUGCGCAGGCGGUCUAUUAAGACAGGUGUGAAAUCCCCGGGCUUAACCUGGGAACUGCGCUUGUUACUGGCAGGCUUGAGUGUGGCAGAGGGGGGUGGAAUUCCACGUGUAGCAGUGAAAUGCGUAGAGAUGUGGAGGAACACCGAUGGCGAAGGCAGCCCCCUGGGCUAACACUGACGCUCAUGCACGAAAGCGUGGGGAGCAAACAGG
rnacentral:rRNA from 1 species